GAGAACAACAGGGUACUCAGUAAGCCAAUAUACAUGAUCAGUGUGAGCACAAUCUUUCUUUAUUUUUUUGUAUCAAAGUGUCCAAAAAUGGAUGAAAAGAGGCAGAACCACAGGCAUUAAGUUGUCUUGAAUUCAGGCAUUGUGAUUGCAACCCAGAAGAAUUUCUUGUAGUCUUUGUGGGAAAACUAUCACAGGAAGAAGAAAAAGCAAUGUCGAGUGAGAUGGAUGGUGGAAGGAAUAUAGUGUAUUAUCAGCUUGAUGUGUGAUUGGAGAAACCAAAGGGGUCACUUAGUGCAAAGUCAGAUGAAGGGGCAUCCCGCCUAAACAGCACGCAACUACUGGAUGUCUGUUCUGCUCCAGAUGAACUCUUGGUAGGAUUCCUAACCGGUACAAUUUUAAUAUAUAAGAGAGACAGUACAAAAAGAUCCCGAAGAC